AUGGCGUUUUCGCCCUUCUUCGGCCAGGCCCGCCCAAGCCGGCAGCCUCCGCAGCUCCCGCAGCCGCCGCUUCCCACACCUUUCGGCUGUAGGCCACCGCCGCUGCUCUCCCCCGCUUUCCCGCCGCGUCUCCCCCAGCAGCCCGGCCUUUUUCCGGGAGCCUCUGCCCCCUUCCUUCAGCCUCCGCUGGUUCUGCAGCUCCGAGCCUCCGCGGAAAUCUCCUGCGGCGGCGGUGGCGGCGCUGGCACCUUCUACCCGGUGCCACCGCCUCCGCAGCUGUCCCAGUGCCGGCCCUUCCCCUGGACCGACGCCGGCGAGCGGCUUGGCGACGCCUUGAAGCCAGCGUUGGUCUGAUGCGCCGCGGCCCGCCUACUUGCUCAGGGAUGCGGCCUUCUAGCGCCUGCGCGACUUCCACGCCGCUAGGGGCGGGCUGUCCGGUGACCAAGCGCGCGCGCGCCGGGCCCAGCCUUGGCGAAGUGCGCGCGCCAUUGCGCGGGUUUUUGUGCCUGGUGCGGCGGCUUCACGGCCUGAUCCAGGCCCUGCGCGAGGCCGAAGCCGAAGGCCUAAGGAACUGGCCGAGCGGCUACAGCCGUUGACCCAGGCUGCCUGGGGACGGGGCGAGAGGGGGAGUCGCAGAAGAGGCUGGAGAGGACUCGGGAACGUGAAGCCGAGCGGGAGGCAGAGGCCACGUGGGCCGUGGAACACGAGCAGGAGAUUGACCGCUGGACGGUCAAGUGUGUGCAGGAGGUGGAGGAGAAGAGGCGAGAGCAGGAAGUCCAAGCAGCCGCUGAUGGCGUACUGUCUGUAGUGGGGAAAAAACAAGCGAUACCAGCACUUGAUACCAAAAGAAUGGUGGACAUUGUUCGGGCUUUGGAGAAGUUGAGGAAAUGGAAGAAGGAGGCUGCAGUGAGGAAAGCGGUCUGUCCUCCAGCCUCAGCAGAUGAGACUUUUGAGCAUCAUCUUCAGCGACUGAGAAAACUCAUGAAAAAGCACUGUGAACUCGAUGAAGCUAAAGAGAGCCCUCAGAGUUAUGCUGGAAGGAGAACAAGAGGAAGAGAGGAAAAGAGAAUUCAAAAAGAAAGAAAGGAAAAAGAAAAUUUUACUUCAGAAACGUGAAAUGGGAGUCCAAGUUGUUUGGGGAUCCAGACGAGCUCCCGCGUGCUCACCUCUUGGAGCCUUUCUGACUGUGUUACCUCCAAGCCGAGCAGUCCCCGUCGGCGCUCAUCUAGAUCAGCAUGAUUGGGAUCAGUGCCUGGUGCCACCCGAUCAUCCCAGAGGCAGCUUCGUUCCCCAAGGAUGGGUCCUUGCCCUGCUCCCCAGCAACGACAUCUGGGCAACUGCUGUUAAGCUGCAUUAGUAAAGAUGCUCCAGGAAUGUGGUCCAGCCAACGCUCUUUCCAGCUCUGAAUAUUAGCGAUGCUGCCAUCUUUUGCCGUAGACUAAACCGCAACUUCUAAAUUCCGUGUGCAUUUCCCCACCCUGAAGUUAUGCUUUCCUUCUUGCUCUGUGCUGGCCAGAGGUGCCUCUUGAAUCAGGAGAUUAAUGUGGUUUUUCAGGAAAGGACUUAAGUGAACUGAGGUUCUUGCCACCGGCAGUGAAUGACCUUGGUUCACCAAAUUUGCCUCUGUUUUGAGGGGCUUGGUCCAGAGUAACUUGUUAAUUUACUCUAUUUCCUUGAGUGGUGAUGGGUGAGUACACUCAAACACUGAACACAGGUGUGCGAUGGGUAGAUUUCACAGCCCUUCCACUAAUCGUGAGUGUGAAGGCAAGCUGGAUGCAAAACCUCCUGACCUUUCCUAUCCAAAGAGCCCUUUGACUUCUAGGAAGAAAGGUCAAAAACGUGUUAUCGUUGGUUUUGUUAAUCCCAGUUUUAGUGCAGUUUGGGGGACUGCUACUUAGGAAGAUGGCAGUGGCUGUAGGUUGGGUUGACAGAAAAGAUGGUGGCCUAGUCUUAAUCAGGUGGAGAAUUUAGAAAUCUGAAGAGUAUCCAAAUUUUAAUGUACAAUGGCUGUAUUUUGUCCAUGUUAGAAAGAUCCUAAUGAAAGCACCCAUUUUUUUAAAGUUUCUAAGGGCUUAGUUGUUUUUUUCAGAAUCCCCAAGGAGAUUUCCCUAAUGGAAGUGGGACCUUAACCUCACUCAGUCAUAUUAUAGGAGCCAAUGUAGCUGUGAAAUUAUCUUAGGAACUCAAGCUUCUAACAGAAAAGCAAAUAAAGAUAAUAAAACUUAUUUUUUAUAUUCACUUAUAAAUGUACUUAGAGAUGAUCACUCAUACAACGUCAUGUGUUUUGGUUUGGUUUUUGCCAAUUUUGUUAUUUAUAUUUCCUAAAAGUAAAUAAAAAAUUUUCUUAAGAAAAGAAAGAAUUAUGAGGAUUGAAAACAGCUCAUUUGAGGAAUGUCAGUUAUUAACCUGAAAGUAACUAAUGAUUUUAUGGUUGGUUACUCUACUAGAUAUGAAUAAAAAUUGUACCUUUAGCCUUCUAUAUACAUCAGCGGAAACUUAAGAUGCAUUAAUUAUGUUCUAAUUGAUUAUAAAUACAGUGUUUUUAAA